AGACUUCAUACAGCCAAGGGAACUAAACUGUCCCAGACUCCCACAGUUGGUUGCUGAAAACCGCAAGGAAAAGAGAUGGUGGACAAGGAGCUGCCUCUUGGAGCCCUGAGCUAGUUGGUACCCGCCGCUCCUUUGGUCCUCAUUGCUGGUGCCCACAGUUCCAGUCUGAGGCCUGAGUGAGUGACAGAAUACCUUUAUACUUCCUCCUCUUACUGACACAACCACUCCCUCUCCUGUCAACAACACUAAUGAGAUUCAUUGGGACUCACAAAGACAUGAAAGACGAAAGGAGAAUUCGAGAGGAGCAAGAGAGGGCAAAGUGCCAUCAUGGCCCAGUUCCUACAGGUUCAGCGGGUCUGCAGGAAGAAGCUGCGGCUGGUUGGGAUCACAGCUCUGCUUUUGGCUUCCAAAUGCCGUUUUCUCUGAGUAUUGAAGAGUUUGUUUACAUGACAGACAAUGCUUACACUGGUUCCCAAAUCGGAGAAAUGGAGGCUCUGAUUUCGAAAGAGUUGAAUUUGGAAUUGGGCUGGCCUUGGCCACUCUACUUCUUAAGGCUUCAGCUUCCUGCCUGUUUCGGAUGGUGCUGGGCCAAGGGAAAUGGAAUUUAAAGCAGCAGUAUUACACAGGAUACAUGGAGAGUGAAAGACUGGAAGUCAUGCAGCACAUGGUCAAGAACAUUGUGAGAGUCAAUGAAAGCCUCACCGACUUCCUCAGUCAAGUGUGUCAGCAGCAGACUCCUGAAGAUGAGGACCCCUCACUUGAACUCCAAAACCAUCAAAGACCUGGCUUCCCCUCUGAUGGGCAGGCCCUGGGCAGUGGGGCUUCUAUCCUGCAUCUCUUAGAUUUUGGACAUACUUAAUCUAGUUUACAUCACAAAACCUCUUCUCGGAUUAAUCCUCUGUGUAUUUGGGGAAAAAAUAAAGUUAUUGAUUUUCUUGGGUUAAAAAAAAAGUGAAAAAUAGGGGUUGGGGAUUUAGCUCAGUGGUAGAGCACUUGCCUAGGAAGUGCAAGGCCCUGAAAAAAAAAAGUGCAAAAUAAUUAAACCCACUUUAAGUCAUUUGUUCUGAAUUCAUGAUCCAUGACAAGAGCCCAAUUAAACCUUUUUAUAGGUCCAUUAGAUGCAAUUAUUUUAAAAAUGCAUAAAAAUUAAGACUGUUCACAUACUAGGAAGACAUUCAAUCCAAUGUUUAAAUUAAAAGCCGGAAAAGUUACUAACUGACUUUACUAUAGGUUAACCACAUGCAACUAUUUAAGUAAAGCUUAUUAAAUAAUUUCACUAAAACAUUUAUUUUCAGUAAUAAAAUAAAGAGCACACUGAAUUA